CGCGUAGGUGGUAGUGUAAGUCUGGGGUGGAAUGCCGGGGCUUAACCCUGGAAUUGCCUUGGAAACUGCAUUACUUGAGUCAGUGAGGGGAGGGUAGGAUUCCUGGUGUAGCGGUGAAAUGCGUAGAUAUCAGGAGGAAGGCCUGUGGCGAAGGCGGCCCUCUGGCGCUGGACUGACACUGAGGCGCGAAAGCGUGGGGAGCAAACAGGAUUAGAUACCCUGGUAGUCCACGCCCUAAACGGUGGGCACUAGGUGUAGGGCUCGUAAGGGUUCUGUGCCGAAGGGAACCAUUAAGUGCCCCGCUGGGGAGUACGGCCGCAAGGUUGAA
rnacentral:rRNA from 1 species